AUGAAGGAAAGCAGCCCUACCAAAUCAAGCGAGAGCCGAGGCUGGAUUUUGCAGGGCGGGCGAAAUCCAAGAAACAAACAAAGUGCGGCUGAUGGUGAGAGAGAGAGAGAGAGAGAGGGGGGGAGGGGACAAAUCCCCGCCGUGAAAUCCGGAGGCAAGCAGCGGCGCAACACGCGGCAACUUGCAAUCCCCAACAAGAAUCAUAAAAAUAAACCGGCAGGAGCGGCAGCAAGAUCGGAGCGAGAAGCAGUUGGAAGCAGCAGGAUCGGAGCGGCGGAUGAGCAACCGAAAAUUGAUUUGCUCAUUCAGUUGAGAGAAAACAAACAAACAAACAAACCAAGAAAAAAAGGGGAAAAAAAGGCUAGUAAGAAAGGCAGAAGAAAAUCUGCUGCCGUCCGGUAG
rnacentral:rRNA from 1 species